rnacentral:misc_RNA from 1 species
GAAAUGCGAUAAGUAAUGUGAAUUGCAGAAUUCAGUGAAUCAUCGAAUCUUUGAACGCACCUUGCGCUCCUUGGUAUUCCUUGGAGCAUGCCUGUUUGAGUAUCAUGAAAUCUUCAAAGUAAAUCUUUUGUUAACUCAAUUGGUUUCUACUUUGGUAUUGGAGGUCUUUGCAGCUUCACACCCGCUCCUCUUUGUUCAUUAGCUGGAUCUCAGUGUUAUGCUUGGUUCCACUCGGCGUGAUAAGUUAUCUAUCGCUGAGGACACUGUAAAAGGUGGCAAAGGUAAAUGCAGAUGAACCGCUUCUAAUAGUCCAUUGACUUGGACAAUACUUUUAUGAUCUGAUCUCAAAUCAGGUAGGACUACCCGCUGAACUUAAGC